AACGCGUAGGAAUCUAUCCAGUAGCGGGGAUAAGCCAGAGAAAUUUGGUCUAAUACCCCAUACGCCCUUCGGGGGAAAGCAGGGGAUCGUUCGGACCUUGGCACUAUUGGAUGAGCCUGCGUGAGAUUAGCUAGUUGGUGAGGUAAUGGCUCACCAAGGCGACGAUCUCUAGCUGGUCUGAGAGGAUGAUCAGCCACACUGGAACUGAGACACGGUCCAG
rnacentral:rRNA from 1 species